UUCCAGACUCCUACGGGAGGCAGCAGUGAGGAAUAUUGGUCAAUGGUCGGGAGACUGAACCAGCCAAGCCGCGUGAGGGAUGAAGGUACAGAGUAUCGUAAACCUCUUUUGUCAGGGAACAAAGGCGGGGACGCGUCCCCGGAUGAGUGUACCUGAAGAAAAAGCAUCGGCUAACUCCGUGCCAGCAGCCGCGGUAAUACGGAGGAUGCGAGCGUUAUCCGGAUUUUUUGGGUUUAAAGGGUGCGCGGGCGGUGUGUUAAGACGGGGCAAAAGCCCGGGGCCCCACCCCGGGCCCGCCGUUGAAACUGGCAGUCUCGAGUUGGAGAGAAGUAUGCGGAAUGCGCGGUGUAGCGGUGAAAUGCAUAGAUAUCACGCAGAACCCCGAUUGCGAAGGCGGCGUACCGGCGCCCGACUGACGCUGAAGCACGAAAGCGUGGGUAUCGAACAGGAUUAGAUACCCUGGUA
rnacentral:rRNA from 1 species